GGGGGCGCUUUUUUAGCUCCCCCGCUUAUAAGCAACGCUGAGAGUAGUGUUUGGUAAAUUAGCUUCACACCAGCUUCUUUCAGAAGCCAGGGCUUUUAAGCUAGAAAAGCAGAAGCCAGAGCACCCCUGCUUUUGGAAGCCAGAAGCAGCAGCGCCUACUGUAGCGCGGUAUACUGUAGAUUAAUGAUACUUUGAUAAUACCAGUGAUUGCCCUCCCUUCCUGGAAGAAAUUACACGCGGCCUUCCUCGAUCCCUCUUCAAAUCCAAUUGCAGAGACAACCCAAAGCCACCAAAUCCAUCUCGUCCUCCAAGACUAGCCUCCAAUUUCCUCUCCGCCGUCUUCGAAUAUCUUGCUGCUAGUUUUUUGGGUUUGGGUUAGGACCAAUCGGGUAUGUUAAUGAGCUAGAUGCUAGUUUGAUUUUCUGUAUUUAGCUAAUUGGGUUAGGACCAGUUGGGUUUGGGUUUGUUCAUGAGCUAGCUGAACACCAAUGAAGUUUGAUUUUGAAUCUUGGGGUUUCCAGGUCUGCAAUGUUUUCGAAUCUAGUUGCUUGGAAGAGAUUGGAUUGGUUUGCAAUCUGGGUAAGCUAGUCAUGCUACUCCGAUUUAAAACUGUUUAUUUCACUUUAGAUUGUUUUAUGUGAAUAAUAAAGAGCAAGUUGCAAUUAUAGUCUAGUACGUGGAAGGGUGCCAAUUUUCCUUUUGAUAUAUUGUCUCUUCCAAUUUGAUGGUCAGGGCUAGCUGCAGAAGAUUUGGUGAGUGACCAUUUCUUUCAUUUUGUUGGAUCAUUAUGCUUUCAGGGUCGGGGCUAUGUUGGACUGCUGUUAAUUGAUAGUUAUCAUGUAAUUAAAGUUACUGGUGUUUGUAUUUACUUUGAUAAUCAUGCAGCUAUGGUAGACAUGAUAAUCAUUACUGAUGGCAAUUGUAUUCAUGGCCUAGGUGGCUAGGUGACCUUGGAGCUCUUCGAACUGGAAUACCCAUAGGAAAAUGUGAUUAUGUUGCUGCAGCUGAAAUUAAUUCACACUCUCUGUGCUGCAAGGAGACCUUGGAGAGUUCUUGGAACUGGAAUACCAAUAGGAAAACUUGAUAUGUAUGUUGUUGCAGCUGGUAUUAAUUCAGAGUCACUGGGAGAUCAAGCGGAAUACCAAGCAACGCACCAAGUUAUAUUAUCUUUCAUGAUGUAAAACUUAGCUAGGAAACUUGAAAAUUAAAAUGUAUGAAUGUGAUAACAAUGUUACUUAAAUUUAGUAUUUGAUAAAUUGAUGUAUCACAAGGCUUUUGGUACAAAUAUUGAUCAUGGUUUGCUUUCAA